UUUACUCAGUGAGUGCAAGAGGUUUGUUUGAAACAGACCGCAAUGGAGAGAUCAGCGCCCAGGGAAGCGAGGGAACAGGAGGCUCCUUCCAGCAGCACAUCGGGAUGGGAGCCUGGGACACAGAGGGGGCUCCGAGACCGGGAUUGAUUCGGGAAAAACACCCGAGAGACUAAGACGCUGUAAAACUUCCUCAGUUCAAAUCACAGAGUAACCAGCUGUCUAACAAACGGAAGGGCUGUGAUUCAAAUUCAAAGAAGACAGAAGAUUUGACGAGUUGGAAUUGAAAGUGGCACGUAAAGCACCAAGCU